rnacentral:rRNA from 1 species
AGGUGGCAAGCGUUGUCCGGAAUUAUUGGGCGUAAAGCGCGCGCAGGCGGUCCUUUAAGUCUGAUGUGAAAGCCCACGGCUCAACCGUGGAGGGUCAUUGGAAACUGGAGGACUUGAGUACAGAAGAGGAAAGCGGAAUUCCACGUGUAGCGGUGAAAUGCGUAGAGAUGUGGAGGAACACCAGUGGCGAAGGCGGCUUUCUGGUCUGUAACUGACGCUGAGGCGCGAAAGCGUGGGGAGCAA